rnacentral:rRNA from 1 species
GAUGAACGCUGGCGGCGUGCCUCAAACAUGCAAGUCGAGCGGCAGCACGGGGCAACCUGGUGGCGAGUGGCGAACGGGUGAGUAAUACAUCGGAACGUGCCCAAUCGUGGGGGAUAACGUAGCGAAAGUUACGCUAAUACCGCAUACGAUCUACGGAUGAAAGCGGGGGAUCGCAAGACCUCGCGCGAGUGGAGCGGCCGAUGUCAGAUUAGGUAGUUGGUGAGGUAACGGCUCACCAAGGCGACGAUGGGUAGCCGGCCUGAGAGGGUGGACGGCCACACUGGGACUGAGACACGGCCCAGACUCCUACGGGAGGCAGCAGUAGGGAAUAUUGCGCAAUGGACGAAGUCUGACGCAGCGACGCCGCGUGAGCGAUGAAGGCCUUCGGGUUGUAAACUGCUUUUGUACGGAACGAAAGGCUCUGGUUAAUACCUGGGGCUCAUGACGGUACCGUAAGAAUAAGCACCGGCUAACUACGUGCCAGCAGCCGCGGUAA